UGGGGAAUUUUGGACAAUGGGCGAAAGCCUGAUCCAGCAAUGCCGCGUGUGUGAAGAAGGCCUUCGGGUUGUAAAGCACUUUUGUCCGGAAAGAAAUCCUUGGCUCUAAUACAGUCGGGGGAUGACGGUACCGGAAGAAUAAGCACCGGCUAACUACGUGCCAGCAGCCGCGGUAAUACGUAGGGUGCAAGCGUUAAUCGGAAUUACUGGGCGUAAAGCGUGCGCAGGCGGUUUGCUAAGACCGAUGUGAAAUCCCCGGGCUCAACCUGGGAACUGCAUUGGUGACUGGCAGGCUAGAGUAUGGCAGAGGGGGGUAGAAUUCCACGUGUAGCAGUGAAAUGCGUAGAGAUGUGGAGGAAUACCGAUGGCGAAGGCAGCCCCCUGGGCCAAUACUGACGCUCAUGCACGAAAGCGUGAGGAGCAAACAGGAUUAGAUACCCUGGUAGUCCACGCCCUAAACGAUGUCAACUAGUUGUUGGGAUUCAUUUUCCUUAGUAACGUAGCUAACGCGUGAAGUUGACCGCCUGGGGAGUACGGUCGCAAGAUUAAAACUCAAAUG
rnacentral:rRNA from 1 species